GCCUGGGUGGCUCAGUGGGUUGAGUGACUGACUUCGGCUCAGGUCACGAUCUCACAGUUUGUGAGUUCGAGCCCCGCGUCAGGCU
rfam:Felis catus isolate Cinnamon breed Abyssinian chromosome A1, whole genome shotgun sequence.